UACGUAGGGUGCAGGCGUUAAUCGGAAUUACUGGGCGUAAAGCGUGCGCAGGCGGUGAUGUAAGACAGGUGUGAAAUCCCCGGGCUUAACCUGGGAACUGCAUUUGUGACUGCAUUGCUGGAGUGCGGCAGAGGGGGAUGGAAUUCCGCGUGUAGCAGUGAAAUGCGUAGAUAUGCGGAGGAACACCGAUGGCGAAGGCAAUCCCCUGGGCCUGCACUGACGCUCAUGCACGAAAGCGUGGGGAGCAAACAGG
rnacentral:rRNA from 1 species